rnacentral:lncRNA from 1 species
UUUUGCAUCUCAUAAGAAAGCAAUUGAACUGAACCCUAAAGAUGCUACUUCAAUUCACCUUAUGGGUAUUUGGUGCUAUACAUUUGCCGAAAUGCCUUGGUAUCAAAGAAGAAUUGCUAAAAUGCUGUUUGCAACUCCUCCUAGUUCCACCUAUGAGAAGGUAGUAUGAUGUCCUUUGUUAAGUUAGUACGGAUUUCUUAACCACAGCGCCAUUCUACCAUGUGUUCACACAUGUGGAGCUCUGAUUCAGUGAGGGAC